rnacentral:rRNA from 1 species
CCUACGGGUGGCAGCAGUGAGGAAUAUUGGUCAAUGGGCGCGAGCCUGAACCAGCCAAGUCGCGUGAGGGAAGACGGUCCUAUGGGUUGUAAACCUCUUUUGUCGGGGAGCAAAAGACGCCCCGCGUCGCGUUCCGAGAGUACCCGAAGAAAAAGCAUCGGCUAACUCCGUGCCAGCAGCCGCGGUAAUACGGAGGAUGCGAGCGUUAUCCGGAUUUAUUGGGUUUAACGGGGGCGCAGUGGGAAGAGCAAGUCAGAGGUAAAAUUGAGGGGCUCAACCUCUUCGAGCCGUUGAAACUGGGUAUCUUGAGUGAGCGAGAAGUAUGCGGAAUGCGUGGUGUAGCGGUGAAAUGCAUAGAUAUCACGCAGAACGCCGAUUGCGAAGGCAGCAUACCGGUGCGCAACUGACGCUCAGGCACGAAAGUGUGGGUAUCGAACAGGAUUAGAUACCCCGGUAGUC